UCAUUUGAUCUCCUCAAGUUCUGAAAUCUGCGAAUGAGCCUGGGCUGGUGCUAUUGGCAUCUCUGUGGAGAUCAAGCUUCUCACCACAGAAAUGCCCUCCUCCCCAGCACUCGGGAGGCAGAGGCAGGCGGAUGGCUGUGAGUUCAAGACCAGCCUCGUCUACAAAGGGUUCUGUGUCGCUUCCUGCUCUUGCCCCAAAAAGAUGGAUCGAGGU